UUUUAAGUAGUUUGCAAUGCGCCGGAAGGGAAGUAAGCUUACUUAUUUUAAAUAAUAACAUUUAUGAUGUCACUUUAAGAACGAGGAAAAGAGUGUUAUCUGCCAGGUGACAACUUUCAAACACACGUGCGAAGAAGUUAUAAUAUACAGGAAUCUUGUGCGAAAUUUCGAAAGCCCCAGUUGUGGCUAGUUGACACGUGCUUUUUGUCCCCUCUGUUUACUGUUCAUUGGUAACCACUGCUGGCACUA